GAAUUCGCCCUUGGGGAAUUUUCCGCAAUGGGCGAAAGCCUGACGGAGCAAUACCGCGUGAGGGAGGAAGGCUCUUGGGUUGUAACCCUCUUUUCUCAGGGAAGAACAGAAUGACGGUACCUGAGGAAUAAGCAUCGGCUAACUCCGUGCCAGCAGCCGCGGUAAUACGGAGGAUGCAAGCGUUAUCCGGAAUGAUUGGGCGUAAAGGGUCCGCAGGUGGCAUUGUAAGUCUGCUGUUAAAGAGUUUGGCUCAACCAAAUAAGAGCAGUGGAAACUACAAAGCUAGAGUGUGGUCGGGGCAGAGGGAAUUCCUGGUGUAGCGGUGAAAUGCGUAGAUAUCAGGAAGAACACCAGUGGCGAAGGCGCUCUGCUAGGCCGAGACUGACACUGAGGGACGAAAGCUAGGGGAGCGAAUGGGAUUAGAUACCCCAGUAGUCCUAGCCGUAAACGAUGGAUACUAGGCGUAGCUCGUAUCGACCCGAGCUGUGCCGGAGCUAACGCGUUAAGUAUCCCGCCUGGGGAGUACGCAGGCAACUGUGAAACUCAAAGGAAUUGACGGGGGCCCGCACAAGCGGUGGAGUAUGUGGUUUAAUUCGAUGCAACGCGAAGAACCUUACCAAGGCUUGACAUGUCACGAAUCCUAUUGAAAGAUGGGAGUGCCUUCGGGAGCGUGAA
rnacentral:rRNA from 1 species